AACCAAAGAAUUGAAACAAAAGAGAGAAAUAGAGAUGAAAAAAUUAGAAUCAAAACAACGACGUCAUGAAAAAUUUUUAGAUAUGAUUAAAUCAUUACGUCAAAAUAAUGCAAAAGGACAAAAAGAAAAUGCUUAUGAUUCUGAUUAAUAGAUUUCUUUUUAAUGUUAGCAAUACUUUCAUAUCUUAUAGCAAACUUUGAAUACUUUAUAUUUUACAGUUAAUUAAGUUAUAAGUUAAAAAAUUAUUUUCAUAAGUUUCUUAAGGCCUUAUUCCGGUGUGUACCGGAGCACGUAUACGGUAGUUGUAGGCGAUAAAAUUAAUAUAUAGUUAUUUCUUUAUUUUAUUUCCUAUUUAAAUACGCUAUCGUAGACGAUAAGAUUAUUAUUUAGUUCUUUAUUUAUUUUAUUUCCUGUUUUAAUACGCUAUCGACUUAGUGAAACGAAGCGCAACGAAAACUGUUGUGCAGUGUAGUGCCUUUUCAGUGGUUUCGGAUUCCUAUGUAAACACAUUUAUGGUAUAAAUAUGUGAAAAAAAGUAAGAAAGAGUUCAACCGAUGCUCGACCACAACAUAUGUAUUGUCCGGUCAGAGCGGAUAGCUGGUGCAAAUACUUCAGGACUGAAGCUACCAAAACUUUAAAUAAUUGUAAACAUCUGCCUGCUUUUUCUAAAGACGUUCAAGAGGUUUUAAAACCCAUCUACAAGGACUUGACAAGAGAAGAAUUGCUGCAAAGAUGUCUCGGCGGCAAUACUCAGAACAACAACGAAAGUUACAACUGCUGCGUCUGGAGUAUUGCGCCAAAACAUUGUUUCAAUGGAAAAAUUAUAGUUGAAAUUGCAACAUUCAUUGCAACUUGCAUAUUUAAUGAAGAAUAUAAACCUGUAUUGAAAAUAAUAAGUGUCAUGGGGAUGAAAAUUGGUGAGAACGCGAUAUCCACCGUGUCCACUUAGCUGAACAAUAGUCGUUGGAGGCUUCUAAGGAGAUGAGAAUUCAACGUAGAAAGGAUAAGUCACAAGAAAUGAAGUUAUUAGAAGAUGUGGAAGGAAUAAUGUACGGCCCAGGCAUUGCUGAUUAAGCAUGGACCGAUCUUCAGAUUUUUUCAACAGCGCACACCCUCGUAUUUUUUAAAGACUUCUGUUUGAGUGCAAUUUUUGUACCCUAAAAGUGCUUGAAUCAAUAAAAAAAUAUUUUAUUUUAUA